CAGAGGCCUUGCACGGGGUGACUGCUCUGCCUACCCUGUGUGUGCCCAGGCCUGGCUAACCCUCGGUUUACUGCUGUGAACUUAGGACGAAGCAUGACUUUUUACUACAGGUUGAAUAGCCUGAAAUUCGUGGACCAAAACCUUUAGAUUCUGGACUGAAAAUACAUCUGGACCAUCUACAUAUAUAUAGUCUUGGACCCCAAACCCAGAACCAAAUACAGAACCUCUCUGUUCUCUACAUCCCCUACCCCACUGUCGCCUGAGUCCAGGAUCAUAUAUGCUAAAACCCCAUGUCACAUGUCCUUACCACUGAGCUGCAUCCAUAGCCCCUAAAUCAUUUUUCACAUGAAUUUGUCAGAUGAACCCUGCCAACAUAUUCUAAAGACUGUUUGUUUGUUUGAAAGCAUGCCUGUUUUGACUUCGACCCACCCACCAGUGACUGGGCUUGGGGUGUCACCCUUCUUCCCAGGACUGCUGAGACCCACGCCAGCAUUCGAGGUGCUGCCUUCUGGAGUGCUCUGGAAAUACCUGUGCUUCCCUCUCACAGUCAUCUCUAUUUGCCAUGUAUGUUCUGAGACCCCCCCCCCCCCAACGUCAGGUCUCCUCCCAGCCUUCCCAUUUAUUCUGCCACAUGAAUAACAAACGGAGUCAGAAAACGAGUGGUUCUUUUCCACAGAUUUCUCCGUGUGUGUUCAAGCCAGACAGCUCAUCUUUCCUGCCC
rnacentral:lncRNA from 1 species